GAGCGCCGUAGCAAUACGGAGCGGCAGACGGGAGAGUAACACGUGGGAACGUGCCCUUCAGUUCGGAACAACCCAGGGAAACUUGGGCUAAUACCGGAUACGUCCGUAAGGAGAAAGAUUUAUCGCUGAAGGAUCGGCCCGCGUCUGAUUAGCUAGUUGGUGGGGUAACGGCCCACCAAGGCGACGAUCAGUAGCUGGUCUGAGAGGAUGAUCAGCCUCACUGGGACUGAGACACGGCCCAGACUCCUACGGGAGGCAGCAGUGGGGAAUAUUGGACAAUGGGCGCAAGCCUGAUCCAGCCAUGCCGCGUGGGUGAUGAAGGCCCUAGGGUUGUAAAGCCCUUUCGGCGGGGAAGAUAAUGACGGUACCCGCAGAAGAAGCCCCGGCUAACUUCGUG
rnacentral:rRNA from 1 species